rnacentral:rRNA from 1 species
UACAGAGGGGGCAAGCGUUAUUCGGAAUUAUUGGGCGUAAAGGGCGCGUAGGCGGCCUGGCAAGUGACGGGUGAAAGCCCUCGGCUCAACCGAGGAACUGCCUGUCAUACUGCCGGGCUUGAGUCCGGGAGAGGUGAGUGGAAUUCCCAGUGUAGCGGUGAAAUGCGUAGAUAUUGGGAGGAACACCGGUGGCGAAGGCGGGUCUCUGGGCCGUAACUGACGCUGAGGAGCGAAAGCGUGGGGAGCGAACAGG